CGUAAUAGUGGUCGUGGAUGAGACGGCAACUUUUGUUGCGCUCGCGAGCCUCCAACAGACAAGUCUGUCAAGGAUGCCAACGCGCAACAAACAGGAUGCUUUCACAUAAAAUCUUUCAAACACUUAAGGAUUUCGAGGAAGCGUUAGCAGACGUUGAAGAAACAACGAUCACAAAGUAUAUUGUGUACAAAAAGGAACAGGUUUUCGGGGAAAAUAACGUGCAACCUUCACCAGGGAAAAAGAUAUACUGGCAGUUGAAAUGUGUACCAUAUGAUGGGGUGCCAUUCCAACUCGUGGGCACCAAGAUAUAUGGAUGCCACCAGGGAAAGGACAGGUGUACUCGGCAAAAGGAGAAGUACCAUGCACAAAAAGAGAAACAAGCGCUUGAAGACCAUGUCUUCAAUGCAAGACGCCAUCUCGUACAAAAUACGAAGAAGAUGGAUUGCCCUGCCCAGAUAACUGUCAGUCAGGUCAUGAAAUGUCCUGGUUUCAAGAUUGCAGAGAACAGUAAAGCAAAGAGGAGGGAGCUCUCAGCAGCACUAAAGGCUGUAGUUGCAGCUGAUCCUUCAACAGUUGAAGUAGUCAUGGAAUACCACACAUGCUUCACCCCAGAAAGUGACCAUCAAAACCAUCCAACUGUUGGAGAGGUAGCUGAACUGCGUGAACCGAUGGAUUCCAGAGUUGAACAACAAAUAGUGAAGCUCACCUUGGCUGGUGCCAGAAAGCUUAGUGAGAUUAGACGUCAACUGUUCAAUUUUGUAAAUGACGAGCUAUUCCGGGGGGAGCAGCCACCUCCACAAACACGUCGGAGGUUUUACCCCACAGACAAGGAUAUCAGGAAUAUCUUAUCAAGAACGAAGGAGGGAAUACGUGAAUCCAAAAAUGACCAGGUCAAUCUGCAGCUUCUGACGCCCAGAUGGUUAGUUGAUGACUGCAAAAUCAAGUACAGGCCAAGCCAGCUACAGGAGGACGGAACUGUCACAAAGCUGCUGUUUUGUUACCAGACAGCCUGGCAGCGAAGGCUUCUCCACCUGUAUGGACAACAGAUGUGCCUGCUUGAUGCUACUUACCGGACGUGUCGUUAUUCUGUUCCCCUCUUCUUCCUAUGUGUACGUACAAAUGUGUGCUAUGCAGUGGUUGGCCUCUUUGUGACCCAGAGUGAGACAACAGCAGAUGUCAAAGAAGCCCUCCAGGUGUUUAAGGAGUGGAACCCUGACUGGAGCCCUAGCCACUUCAUGGUUGAUUUCUCAGAGGUAGAGAUCGGUGCCCUGGAGGAAGAGUUUCAAGGUUCCAAGGUGCUUCUCUGCGACUUCCAUAGGGAGAAAGCUUGGGUUGAAUGGUGCAGGAAGAAAGAUCAUGGAGUGAGCCACGCACAAGACAGUCUCCUACCGCUUCUGAGAAGCAUUGCAGCUGCUUCAACUCCAGAGGAGUUCAGCACACGCCUUUGCAACCUGCAGGAGGCCAAAGUCUGGAAGGACAAUGAAAAAGUGAGGGCGUGGUUUUCAAAUAAGUGGCUCCCAGAGGCUAAGAGAUGGGUGCACGUGUUUCGGGAUGAAGAUCUCAAGGUGGCCAUCUACACCAACAAUGGGGUGGAAAGACAAAAUGAAACCCUAAAGCAUUCUCAUCUUGAAGGUUAUAAGAACUGCAGCCUCAGUGAAAUGCUCACUGUGUUGGUAACUGACUUCCUACCAAGGACAUAUCGGAAGUACAUUGAACUCAAUGUCAAGUACUCCUCAUUCUACAGAAGGUACAAUGAGAACAUGCCAAAGUUCUUAAAAGACAGACCAAGAAGUGUAGCAGACCAUGUGAUGUCAAGGCUUACAGAAGCCCAGUUUUAUGAGGCGAAUGACAUUGUUGCAAAGGGCAAUGGCAUGUUCCAUGUCAAAAGCCAAAGUCAUCCUUGCACACAGCACCACAUCAACUUUGGUGAAAGUAUCAUCAUGCCAUCGUGCACCUGCAAAGACUGGGCAAAGCACAAGUUGCCCUGCAAGCACUUCUGUGCUGUUUUUAAUCAUGUGCAUGAAUGGGGUUGGGAGAAACUGGCAUCUAAUUACAGGGAUAACCCCCUCUUCUCCCUGGAUAAUGCAUGUCUGGGACAGACUUCUUGUGAGAGGGAUGACAGCGGCAGAUCAGACAUCACAGAUCAUACAUACACACCGGUAUCAGUGGAAAUGCAGUCACCAUGUAACGCUUUGCCCGAAAGGAAAAGACCAAGAAAGGUUAAACAAAGAAGGGAAUGUGCCAGUCUCUUGCGUGAGAUUACUGACUUAACAUACCAUCUGCAAGAUGAAGAUUACCUUAAAACGUUAACUGACCAAAUGACCGAGAUCUUGGAAGAUGUGAAGCUACACACUCCACAUGAUCAGAGCCUUCCUCUGACGUUCACACCUAAGAAAAGGAAGAAGGAGAUGGCCAACCUACCUGUGAAAACCGUACCACAAAAGCACCCAUUCACAAAAAGGGUAGGCUGCUUUGCGGAAGCUAUGAGGUUGAACUUCCGGGUCAGCAUGAAUGUGGAGGGAGUAGAGAAGGGUCCUGAUGUCUCAACAAAAAAAUAAUCCCUAUUAAAUUAUCCAUACAUAUUUUUAUUCUAUUUAAUUACAACUUGUAUUGCAACAUUUUUACUUUAACUCUGUAAGGUUAGUCUUUUUAUUUAUCUUGUAUUGCACAUUUGUAUUCUUACUUCCUAUGUUAAUGUACAUCUUUAAAUUGUAUUUUAUUAUAUCUUUGUUGUAUUGCCCUCUUUUACUUUCACUUCUUAUUUCAACAUAAAUAUUGUUAUUUAAAAUCAUAUUUAACAUUUCUGCUUUCAUUUCUUGUUUGUUUUAUAUGUUUAUAUACAUAUGGUUAUUUUAUUUUGCAUUGCCAAUCUUUGAUUUUACUUCCUAUAGUUACAUUAAUCUUUUUAUUAUAUUUUUCUUAUCUUUAAAUUCACACUUUUACUUGUGUAUAUAUAUACAUUUAGCUAUUUAUUAAGUAUUUAUCUUGUAUUGCACAUUUGUAUUCUUACUUCCUAUGUUAAUGUACAUCUUUUAAUUGUAUUUUAUUAUAUCUUUGUUGUAUUG